AUUGAACGCUGGCGGCAGGCUUAACACAUGCAAGUCGAGCGGGGUGAUGGUGCUUGCACUAUCACUUAGCGGCGGACGGGUGAGUAAUGCUUAGGAAUCUGCCUAUUAGUGGGGGACAACAUCUCGAAAGGGAUGCUAAUACCGCAUACGUCCUACGGGAGAAAGCAGGGGAUCACUUGUGACCUUGCGCUAAUAGAUGAGCCUAAGUCGGAUUAGCUAGUUGGUGGGGUAAAGGCCUACCAAGGCGACGAUCUGUAGCGGGUCUGGGAGGAUGAUCCGCCACACUGGGACUGAGACACGGCCCAGACUCCUACGGGAGGCAGCAGUGGGGAAUAUUGGACAAUGGGGGGAACCCUGAUCCAGCCAUGCCGCGUGUGUGAAGAAGGCCUUAUGGUUGUAAAGCACUUUAAGCGAGGAGGAGGCUCUUUUGGUUAAUACCCAAGAUGAGUGGACGUUACUCGCAGAAUAAGCACCGGCUAACUCUGUGCCAGCAGCCGCGGUAA
rnacentral:rRNA from 1 species